UUCUUGUUUCUACUCUUCACUAUAUGUGGUCUUAAUCUGUCGUCAAUGGCAUUCAAGAACUUAAAGUAGGAUUCAAGCCUGAACUUGGUUCUUUGAAGUAUUACAAUGGUUUGUCACAUGGAUGUGAAAUAGCUCCUUGCCAGUACAAUACAUAUGUGCCCAAUUUUGGAGUUCAGAAUAAUACAUAUGAAUUUGCUCUGUUUUACAAUCUUUAUAAUCUUUUUAUGGAAAUCUGGACCCAUGCAUUGUUGGGGAAACUGAAAAAUGGUUUCAAAGACUUUUUGUUCUUCUUCUCAGGUAUGAAACUUCAAGUUCUUGUUCUGUUAUUUAUUUAUUAUUUUAAAUUUCUAUAGUUUGCUGACAUAUCAUGUUGUCCAACCACCAGAUUUUCACAAGUGCCUUUAUUGUUCAUUAUAGUCCUCGAAAUGGUUUCCAUUUUGAAGUCAAUGAUGAAUCUUCACCUAUACAGGAUGAUCCUCGUCUAUAUGAUGACAAUGUUGAACAAUGCAUAAAUGAUUUCAUUGAUGCUGCUAGGACUCAAGCAAAUGUGACACAUACAAAUCACAUCAUGUGGACAAUGGGUGAUGAUUUUCAGUACCAAUAUGCUGAAUCUUGGUUCAAACAAAUGGACAAGUUUAUCCAUUAUGUUAACAAGGCAGUUAUCUAUUUGGAUGGUGAUGGUUGCAAGUUAAGAAGUGGACUGGUGAAAAUUGAGGAAGGUUUAACUCUUGACACGUUAAUUGCUUAUGAUUCAUGUGAUCUUUGCAAGAUGACUCUCAUGCACCAUCUCUGCAAAAGAGACUUGUUUUGUGCCAGUGAUGAAUGUCUCUGUACAAGACCCAUGUCAGCAGGUCGUCAACGUUCCAGAGAAGGGAGGUCGUAAGCAUCCUCGAAGUGACAAUAUUCAGGCUGCUUGGGUAUUGUUGACAAUGAUGUCGUCGAGCUAAAUUAUCUACAACGACAGGUGUCUGUGCUGGUUAAAAGUUUGGCUGCCAAGGAACCAUCUGCAUGCUGGAAUUUCUCACUAUCUUUUUAACGAAUUCUACCCUCUCCUUAUUCCCAUUCUCCGCUUCCUCUUCUGUGUAGAGAGAGAUGGCUUGGAGGUGCCUUCUCACGCAGGUCAGAUUCACCAUCUGAAUAGCUUUAUUUUUUUGAAUCUGUUCAAUGGUUUUUUUUUCUUCGUCGUCUUGAAUCUCAAACCCUUUUCUUCUUGUUGCCGGUUCGCCCUAUUCCCUUUUUUUAAAAGAUUUUUUUUUUUUUUUUAGGUUUCAAGGAUUUCUACAAUUUUCUCCCGAAAUCCCCUUCUUUCCAUCGUCGACAGAUUUUUCUUUCAAUUUUCUGUAUUUCUGCUUUAUUCAAAUGGAUGGAUUUUCAAGGUUUUCUGAUGUUUGGUUCUUACAUCGGUUCUCUUGUUAGUCUUUAUGCUUCAAGAAUCUAUUUUUUUCCUUUAUUAUUUAUUUAUUUUUGGAAAUGAGUGUUGAUGCAAUCUGGA